UGCUUUGAAGGCACGCGGUUU
rnacentral:piRNA from 1 species